rnacentral:ribozyme from 13 species
AAGAAAACUUGACCCCAAAGUCAUGUUCUUCUUCUUCCUUGUCUUCUUCAUCCAUCUCCUUUUCUUUUUCUUUUUCUUUCUCUCCUUUUUCUUCCUUUUGGUC